rnacentral:rRNA from 1 species
UACGUAGGGUGCAAGCGUUGUCCGGAAUUAUUGGGCGUAAAGGGCUCGUAGGCGGUCCAUCACGUCGGGAGUGAAAAGCUGGGCUUAACCCCAGUCCUGCUUCCGAUACGGGUGGACUAGAGGUAGGUAGGGGAGAACGGAAUUCCUGGUGUAGCGGUGAAAUGCGCAGAUAUCAGGAGGAACACCGGUGGCGAAGGCGGUUCUCUGGGCCUUACCUGACGCUGAGGAGCGAAAGCGUGGGAGCAAACAGG